AACGAACGCUGGCGGCAGGCUUAACACAUGCAAGUCGAACGAGAAACUGACUUCGGUCAGCAGACAGUGGCAGACGGGUGAGUAACGCGUGGCAACCUACCAUUUUCUAUGGAACAACAGUUGGAAACGACUGCUAAUACCGUAUACGCCCUCCGGGGGAAAGAUUUAUCGGUGAAUGAUGGGGCCGCGUUAGAUUAGCUAGUUGGUGAGGUAAUGGCUCACCAAGGCGACGAUCUAUAGCGGGUCUGAGAGGAUGAUCCGCCACACUGGGACUGAGACACGGCCCAGACUCCUACGGGAGGCAGCAGUGGGGAAUAUUGGACAAUGGGGGCAACCCUGAUCCAGCCAUGCCGCGUGAAUGAUGAAGGCCUUAGGGUUGUAAAAUUCUUUCGCUAGGGAAGAUAAUGACGGUACCUAGUAAAGAAGCCCCGGCUAACUCCG
rnacentral:rRNA from 1 species